CUACCAAAUACCAGAAGAAAACGAAUAUUCCCAAGCGGAAACCAAUUGAAGCUCUUGUAAACGGCGGGAGUAACUAUGACUCUCUUAAGGUAGCCAAAUGCCUCGUCGGGUAAUUUCCGACGCGCACGAAUG
rnacentral:ncRNA from 1 species